UACGGAGGGUGCAAGCGUUAUCCGGAAUCAUUGGGUUUAAAGGGUCCGUAGGCGGUUUAUUAAGUCAGUGGUGAAAGCCCGCAGCUCAACUGUGGAACGGCCAUUGAUACUGAUAGACUUGAAUUAUUGGGAAGUAACUAGAAUAUGUAGUGUAGCGGUGAAAUGCUUAGAUAUUACAUGGAAUACCGAUUGCGAAGGCAGGUUACUACCAAUUGAUUGACGCUGAUGGACGAAAGCGUGGGGAGCGAACAGG
rnacentral:rRNA from 1 species